AUGCACAUUAUUGUUUGCAAAUAUUAAGAUUGUUGCAAGAAAUGUACCAAAGUGACUGAGAAAAACCAUAAAAUGGUCAGGUUGAUGUAGGCUUGAUUUAACACCACCAGGUGGCGCCCAAUAACAAAAAGUUAGCUGUCUCCAAGAUCAGGGGGCGUGUGGCGGAACCGAGAGCGAACGAGAGGGAGAGAGAAAUAUCACAACUCAGCCAGUCGAGCAAUUUGAGAGGCUGCUGUCACGCACCCUGCGCACAGAAGCGACCAGCCGUGCGCCUUCUUCAUGCGCGGGUUCAGCACCACACUGAGCUGGACAGGAUGCUCACGGACAGAUGGAAACACACCGAGUCUCUGCCGUAGAGACAGAGGGUCCACCCGUACAGCAAGUGCAUAAGGAGGAGAAGUAUUCGCCGGUACUCUAGGGCUGCAUCCCUGUCUUCAGAGGGGACAGCAUGGACAGAACAGUUAUCGUUAAAAUUGUAGUCUCAAAAAUUCGAUUCUAACAAGAGGGAAUUUGCAGGAAAGUGCGAACGAAGGAUUUGUCGACAGGCUUGUCGGCAAUUUGUUUUAUAGCCUAGCACUUCAAUAUUAAGUUGCUCGGAAGAAUGGAAAAGCCCACCCAGGCUCAUCUGCAGUCGAGCAUAUCCAAGAGCGCAGAAGGUCCCUCAGAGGACCUUUCCAAACUUACGGAUGAGGAGCUUCUGAAAUGGAGCAAAGAGGAGCUGGUUCGCCGGCUCCGCAGAGCCGAAGCUGAGAAGAUGAGCGUCAUAGUGGACCACAGCAAUCUCAUCCGAGAGGUGAACCGCAGGCUUCAGCAGCAUCUCAACGAGAUACGGGGGCUGAAGGAGGUGAAUCAGAAGCUGCAAGAGGACAACCAGGAGCUGCGGGACCUCUGCUGCUUUCUGGAUGACGACCGGCAGAAAGGGAAAAAGGUGUCGAGGGAGUGGCAGCGCCUGGGCCGCUACAGCGCAGGGAUCAUGCGUAAGGAGGUGACGCUUUACCUGCAGAAGCUGAAAGAGCUGGAGCAGAGGCAGGAGGAAGUGGUGAGGGAGAACCUUGAACUGAGAGAGCUGUGCCUCAUGUUGGAUGAGGAGAAGGGCUCUGGAGGUACCAGCGGGUCGACGGGUACUGGGGGACCAGCCGGCUGCAGGAGUUCAAUCGAUAGUCAGAGCAGCCUGUCUCACGCUAGUGGCCCUGGGCCUGGCCUACUAAGGGAUGUGGGUGACGGGAGCAGUACCUCCAGCGCGGGCAGCACCGACAGCCCUGACCAUCUCACACAUAAGCAGCAGCUGUUGGGUGGCCCGGUUGGAGGCAGUCCUGACCACCUACAUAAGCCAGGCUCAGGGGAGGAGGCAAAGGGUCUUGAGCAAACAAGCCGAAGACAUAGCACCAGCCAGGAGUACGCAGCACAUACCUUUCCCCAGGUGUGCCGGUCUCGCUGCGGGUCCUUCUCCAGUCCGGACCAUAAGGGCCUGCGGGGUCUCAGUCCAGAGAAACUUGGCAAGAGAGGCAGCCCAGAGCAGUUCUCAAAACUGGUGUCCUCUCAGCCGCCUGGCAGUCCGGACCUUUUCCAGAAGCACAGGGGUAGCAUGGGUAGUGUGUGUGGGAGUCCAGAGCCCAAACAGAUUCUAUCAGGGACACCGGAGCACCUACAGAAGGGCCGUGUCAUAUCUGGGAGCCCUGAGUUGUUGAGGCAUCAGCAUGGCAAGUUUGGCAGCCCCGGCCGAGAGGUGGCACAGAAGAGGCCGGGCGUAGAGGAGAUGUCCCCUCAUCACCGGAACAUCUAUAGCGGUAUGAACGGUGGCUCCGAUUGGAGCCUGCUGUAGCACCCACAAUGAGAUAUACGGAGUCCCAUUUGAGUACACCACACGCAGAGGGGAUGGUCAUCCUUCAUCCUGGAGCCAGCAAAGCCCCAAUUCCCAGCCAGGCACUAAACCAUCCCAUUCAGCCAGCCAUGAUCUGCAUUUAGUUUAGUUUUGCUUUGCUCAGUUCAGGAGAGGCCAUGGCCAGAUAGAGCAGGGGCUUUAGUGUCUGGCUAGAGCAGAACAUCUCAUCUCUGGUAAAGGUCGGUGGUGUCCAGUCUUGGUCCUCUUGGGCCAUGAUUUUAGCAGGCUUUAGCUGCUUCCUAUCAAUCAGCCUCUGUACCUGUGCCUCCGAAGUCAUUUUUUUACGCACUGGAACCCAGCUCAGGGAACACUGUAAUCAAUCAAUGAAAGACCAAAAAGCUCAGAGGCCCAACAAAAGCCAGAAGACAGUGCUGCCCAGGAGGACCAGGAGUGGACACCAUUGUAUUUACCAUAUGCACGCAGCUCUGAUAUCGGCUGGCUGUUGCACCAGCUCCUGUAG